rnacentral:rRNA from 1 species
UACGGGGGGGGCAAGCGUUGUUCGGAAUUACUGGGCGUAAAGGGCUCGUAGGCGGCCAACUAAGUCAGACGUGAAAUCCCUCGGCUUAACCGGGGAACUGCGUCUGAUACUGGAUGGCUUGAGUUUGGGAGAGGGACGCGGAAUUCCAGGUGUAGCGGUGAAAUGCGUAGAUAUCUGGAGGAACACCGGUGGCGAAGGCGGCAUCCUGGACCAACACUGACGCUGAGGAGCGAAAGCCAGGGGAGCAAACGGG